rnacentral:tRNA from 1 species
GGGGAUUUAGCUCAGUGGUAGAGCGCUUGUCUAGCAAGUGCAAGGCCCUGGGUUCGAUCCCCAGCUCCG